rnacentral:rRNA from 1 species
CGGGACGGGUGAGUAAUGUCUGGGAAACUGCCUGAUGGAGGGGGGUAACUACUGGAAACGGUAGCUAAUACCGCAUAACGUCGCAAGACCAAAGAGGGGGACCUUCGGGCCUCUUGCCAUCGGAUGUGCCCAGAUGGGAUUAGCUAGUGGUGGGGUAACGGCUCACCUAGGCGACGAUCCCUAGCUGGUCUGAGAGGAUGACCAGCCACACUGGAACUGAGACACGGUCCAG